CUCAAACCUAGAUUCAUGUAUGAAUCAGCUGAGGAGCUUUUUAAAAGCAGAUAUUCUGGGCUACAGAUUCCUGAUGGGAUAGGAUCCACACUUCUCAGGUCUGGAUGUUUGGGAACAUUUCCUGAGGCUUCUAAAAGCCCCAACAAACAUCUGAAGAGCUGCGGUACCCACAGCAAGUCCUCGUUCUGUUAUGAGCUCGCAAGACACACAAUGCCAGCCCCGCUCAGUCAUCUCCUCGUCAAGUCUGCCUCUCCACCUUCCCAUCCUCAUUGCAGGAGCCUAUGAAAUUAAUGAGACAGAAGUCCGCGCUACAGCGGUCGCCGUGUUAUUGGUGUAGAGCGCCGGUGCUGUUACAGUGUCCCUGUUUUCUCUCCUGGGACGUUUAAUUUCCGCUUCUCAAAUGAGCUGCGAAGCUGUGAGGCCUGGCAGUGUUCAGCCCCGGCACUCCGUGAUGCAGAUAAUGAGGAUACUGAUAGGUGCCUAGGAGACUGUGAUGGCUCCGAGCGCAGCCGUGGUCUGAUAAUGCUUUACGCCAGCAGUGUCACAGCGGAGCCACUAUCACCCCGCAAGGAAUGGUUCAUCUUCAUGUGUAAUACAGCAGCUGUCACCUAAAUGGCUAAUGGGGAAGCAAAGUAGAACCAGAGUGCUAGUCAUCUUUGUCACUUAAUAAUUUUCAAGGUAUCAGACUUCAGUGGCUCCAGCAAGUUCCAGUAAAAGCGUGCUUGCCGGUUUUAUGCUGUUUGUGGUGGCUUUAAACAUGGAUGGAGAAAUCUGUGGUGCUCUUCUGUGCAAAUCUAAUUUAGUAUCGUUUCAAUAGCCGAGUAAUUAAAACGUAUUAUAGGUAUAAGAUGCUGCGAUGGUGGAGUGCCUGCAUUUAAGAGGAAGAUUUAUUGGGCUUGCAGCCUCCACUGUGAACCUCCUACAACCACAUUAGCUAACAUCUGUUGGAAAAUGUCGACACCAGGGCAGAAGACAUGCACGCAAAAUGUAUGCUUUCCUCAGUUGGAACAGCAAACCGGAAACACGGCUUGCACUUGCAAUUUAAAUUAAUUAGUCAUGGGACAUGUGUCUGCACGGGCACACACAGGCAUGCAUGAGGGUAUAUGGGUAUGUGAAGGGUCAUGCGUGUGUACAGCCAGGUACAUACAAACACGCAUCCUUUCUAAUUAACAUCCAACCCCUGCAGAGUCGGAAGUGAAGUUUGAUUGGAUUUAAGGAGCAGGGUAAUAAGAAUGGGACAGUUAAUACAAACGAUGUCGGUGUUGACACUGCCCCAUUAGUAUUUCCUGGCAGAUUAUUUUGUUUGCUUUGCCUAAGUGCACAAGAUUAUAGGGGAUGAUUUAGUAAGCUAGGGCACUGGAUUCUGAAGGCAAGCCAAGCUAAUUUCAAUCACACCUACAACCAGGCUGUUAAUCUUUGGGGAGUUACUGCACCUGUGCUGGCAGAGGUUAAGAGGCGAGAGAUUCUAGAAGGCACAGAUAGAGCAGUUGUCCAGGGAAAGGAAGAGCAGUAGAACAGACUCAUAAUUCUCUUAGGGGAUAAAUUGACAGACAUUUCGAAAUCUGAAAAAUAUGUUCCUAGAUAAGUGUGAGAUAUACCUUCCAAACAAACACAAAGUGUGUUCCAAGGAAAUAUCGGUCAGGAGACAGUCAAGAGUGCUUGGUAACUGAUGGGAGGGAGUCACAUACAUGUGAAAUGUGUUUAGGCAGCACUACAUAUUGCUUUCCUCUCUUUGCAUCACUGAGUGGUUUGGACGUAUUUGUCAAAUGUGUGUCCUGCUAGGAGAAAAAUAACCGGGUAGGCUGGGGGAACUGAGGUUCCGAAUGAUAUUAACCAUUUUCACUUCAUCUCUGCCUUCCUAACCACUUUGCUAUUCUGUUUGUAAACCUCUGGUCAAAGCUACUGAGAAACUUCAAUACUGUAAUCAACCUUCCUCUAAAGACUGAGCUUCUCCUGCUGAAAUCACUCACUGGAG
rnacentral:lncRNA from 1 species